UUUCCUCAAAUGUAUAAUGACAUGUAUCCAACAUUAUAGUAUCCUACAGAAUAGUGUCUUUGCCCUAAAAAUCCUCUAAUCCCCCUAUUCAU